rnacentral:rRNA from 1 species
UACGGAGGGUGCAAGCGUUAAUCGGAGUUACUGGGCGUAAAGCGUGCGCAGGCGGUUUGUUAAGUCUGUUGUGAAAUCCCCGAGCUCAACUUGGGAAUUGCAAUGGAUACUGGCAGGCUGGAGUAUGGUAGAGGAAGGUGGAAUUCCCGGUGUAGCAGUGAAAUGCGUAGAGAUCGGGAGGAACACCAGUGGCGAAGGCGGCCUUCUGGACCAAUACUGACGCUCAUGCACGAAAGCGUGGGGAGCAAACAGG